GGUCUCACUGUGUGGCCCAGGCUGGCCUUGAGCUCACUAUGUAGCCCAGGCUGGCCUCGAAAUUGUGGCGAUUCUCCUGCCUCAGCCUCCCAAGUGCUGGGACUACAGGCAUGCGCCACCCCAGCUCCG
rnacentral:miRNA from 1 species